UAUUAAAUAUUUCAGGUUAUUCUAUAGAAUCAAAGCAGAAAAUUUGGGAUUGCGUCAAAUCUGAAUACCCUGCUUUAAUAACAUGGGAAUAUUGUAUGCGAUACUUGGGAACUAAUUCUGGAGGAGAAUUUCUCAACAAUCAAUGCGGCCCAUCUGACGUUCCUAUAGAACAGCAAGAAAGCUUUUCUAGAUGUAUUGAAGAGAAUAUAAAUGAAAAUAUUGAACAAAAAAGUGAUGAAGAAGAGAAAAUCUUGCUUCGUAAUUGCAUGCAAAACAUGGAUUUAUAUUAGAAUAAUACAUUGAUGUAUUCACAAUCUUGUAAACAUUUUCAGAAUUUAAAUAAAAUUACUUAAUUAUUAAUA